GGUUCAUUCAUGCUGCUGGCUGCACGUCCUCAUUCACUUUUAACUCAUUGCUGGUGAAAUCAGUUUGACAAUAAACUACAGCUGGGUGCGGCAAUCAGCUUGAAGGAGCCCUUUCCCUCUUUUAGCCAACGCAGCGUGAAAGAUGACGAGAGACCGGCUAGGUAGCCAGCAGGCUAGCUGGAAAGGCGGCAGAUUAGUCCACGUGGAUUCAUGGCACGGAUGAGCGCUACACAGACCCGGGAUUCUACUUGUGGCCAAGGUACGGCGAGGGAUCUUGGCUAAAUAAACUGGGAGUGACAGAUUGACGCAAGCACACUUUGUCUCUUAUCUGUAGGACUGUGCGAGUAAGAAAGUGUGAACAGAAAAAAGUGUGUUUUAAAGUUGAAAUGUAUUUUAAUGUUUAAAUGUGUUUCAUGUAGAUGGUCUGUCCAUAACACAGAUCGCAGGUGGGUUUGGAGCGUAUAUCCCAUGACAAACAAGCAUUCACACCGAUGGACAAUUUAGUCUUAAAUGAAGCUAACGUGCAUGUUUUAGCAACGUGGGGCAGUCUACUAACCACUCGCCCAGCAUGCUGUCCCCAUGGGAUCCAUGGAGGUGAAAGGAACAGAUGGAGAUGGGCGCAGCCAUGUCCCGUUAGCCACGUUACCACGCUCGCCGUCGUCAUGAAGCAAGCCUCUCGUCACCUUGUCCGCAUUCCCAGGUCAUGCUUUGGAAGUGUAGGGGUCACACCCCUUCAACCUCGCCUCCAGCCCCCCUACUGCCACCCGUUAUAUUAGGAUCCGAACAUGAUGUAAUUGGACCCAUUUAGCUGGGGACGAGCCGCGGAGGACUGACAAGUAGGCUGCAGCCUGGGCUCCCUGUCUCCCCAGACAUGGGCACUCAAACAAGGGCCGUGACCCACCUUUGUCUGCUACAUUGACCCUUAGACACCGUAGGACAAACGGCAGACAUAAUGAGGACAUGUGCAUGUUUUAUUUGUCUUUUAGCACAUUUCAGGAAUUAAAAAAAAAAAGU